rnacentral:rRNA from 1 species
UACGUAGGGUGCAAGCGUUAUCCGGAAUUAUUGGGCGUAAAGAGCUCGUAGGCGGUUUGUCGCGUCUGCUGUGAAAACUGGGGGCUCAACCCCCAGCCUGCAGUGGGUACGGGGCAGACUAGAGUGCGGUAGGGGAGAUUGGAAUUCCUGGUGUAGCGGUGGAAUGCGCAGAUAUCAGGAGGAACACCGAUGGCGAAGGCAGAUCUCUGGGCCGUAACUGACGCUGAGGAGCGAAAGCAUGGGGAGCGAACAGG